rnacentral:lncRNA from 1 species
UUAAAUCAUAGUCUGGAGGUAGCUAAAAUUAUUAGCUUACCUUUAACAAGGACUCUUGUAAUUGAAAAGGUGUGUUUAUGAAAGUUGGCAACUUCUGGGCUGCUAAAAUUAAUCAUAAGCUAGCAAAGUGUAGGAGGGUCCAAGUGAGCAGUCCUUAUGGGCUGUUGGAGAGGAAGCCAUCCCUGUGAAAGGUAAGAAAGAGCUUUGGAUAGUUUGCCUGAGUUCAAGAGAGGGUCUUUUUGUUGUUUUGCAUAGGCUCUGGAGUCAAGGAAAAAAAAAAUCCCAUGAAGGAGAAUGAAGGCAGCUCCAUCUACAUGUUCAAUGGCAAUCCAGUAGGAACCACAGCUACGUACGUGCAUGUCCCUGAGGAACUUAAAGAGGUGUUUGCUCACUUUCCUGUAGUUCUGAUUUGCUCACGAGGAUGCCCAGACAACAGGAAGGUAAGUACAUGCAUAAAUUGUGUUAGACCUUUGGGAAUUCCUUCCUCCGUUUCAGUAUUGUGGUUUUGGUUUUGUUUUGUUAAAAAAAAAAUGGGUGAGAUGAAAGCCCAUUUUCUCAUUUAUAAAUAUCCCCACGAGAACUGGUAGCUCUGUGAGCACAGAGAAGAGGCAUGGCAGACAACCGAUACAUCCCAUCUUUAGAAGUAUUGGCAGGUUUCUGUAGGAAAUACAGUUUAUUCUGGAAGACAUGGUUACCAUAAUUUAAAAAAAAACAAGAUAUUUAGCACACCAAUAAAUAAUUGUGUACAUUAAGAUUUUAACAUUCUUUUGUUGUUGUUUUUGAGACAUCUUAGUCUUCAGCACAGACUGGCCUCAAACUCAUGAUCAUCCUCCUGCCUCUGUAUUCAGUGUUAAGACUGUAGGUAUUAGUCACCACUCUUGACUUAAAAUUUUAAUUCUAACCCUAAACCAAUUAACUAGUUUUCCUAAGAAAAUUAAUUUCUUUUAA